rnacentral:rRNA from 1 species
GAAUAUUGGGCAAUGGACGCAAGUCUGACCCAGCCAUGCCGCGUGCAGGAUGAAGGCCUUCUGGGUUGUAAACUGCUUUUUUACGGGAAGAAAAAGCGCUUGCGAGCGCAACUGACGGUACCGUAAGAAUAAGCACCGGCUAACUCCGUGCCAGCAGCCGCGGUAAUACGGAGGGUGCAAGCGUUGUCCGGAUUUAUUGGGUUUAAAGGGUGCGUAGGCGGCCCGGUAAGUCAGUGGUGAAAGCCCAUAGCUCAACUAUGGAACUGCCAUUGAUACUGCCGGGCUUGAGUACAGACGAGGUAGGCGGAAUUGAAGAUGUAGCGGUGAAAUGCAUAGAUAUCUUCAAGAACACCGAUUGCGUAGGCAGCUUACUAGGCUGUAACUGACGCUGAGGCACGAAAGCGUGGGGAGCGAACAG